rnacentral:rRNA from 1 species
CUACGGGUGGCUGCAGUGAGGAAUAUUGCACAAUGGGGGGAACCCUGAUGCAGCAACGCCGCGUGGAGGAUGAAGCAUUUCGGUGUGUAAACUCCUUUUAUAUGUCAAGAAAAUGACGGUAGCAUAUGAAUAAGCACCGGCUAACUCCGUGCCAGCAGCCGCGGUAAUACGGAGGGUGCAAGCGUUACUCGGAAUCACUGGGCGUAAAGGACGCGUAGGCGGGUUGGAAAGUCAGGUGUGAAAUCCUACAGCUUAACUGUAGAACUGCACUUGAAACUUCUAAUCUAGAGUAUGGGAGGGGGAGAUGGAAUUAGUGGUGUAGGGGUAAAAUCCGUAGAUGUCGCUAGGAAUACCUAAAGCGAAGGCGAUCUCCUGGAACAUUACUGACGCUAAGGCGUGAAAGCGUGGGGAGCAAACAGGAUUAGAUACCCGUGUAGUC